UACAGGGGGUGCAAACGUUGCUCGGAAUUAUUGGGCGUAAAGCGCGCGUAGGCGGCCACUUAAGUCGGAUGUGAAAGCCCCUGGCUCAACUGGGGAAGUGCACCCGAAACUGAGCGGCUUGAAUGCAAAAGAGGGUCGCGGAAUUCCCGGUGUAGAGGUGAAAUUCGUAGAUAUCGGGAGGAACACCGGUGGCGAAGGCGGCGACCUGGGCCGGAACUGACGCUGAGGAGCGAAAGCGUGGGGAGCAAACAGG
rnacentral:rRNA from 1 species